GUUUAUGAGCUUGUGCAUUAGGGUCUUUCCCUCAGGUCUAAAUGUUCCAGCAAUGGGUCAGUUCUCUGCAGAAUUAGGGGAAUUCGUAGGCUCUACAAAUCCCUCUGGAUCAGUGUGUUCUAUCCUGAAGCUCUCCAAAGAAAGAAGGAAUUAAUCUAUUUUAUAUAAGAUAGAGCUGUCAGUGAGGAAAAGUGCAUGGACCCAGACCCAGAAGCCAACCAACUGGCAUGAAAAUUCUAAUUAUGAGUCAAGUUGUGUGACUUUGGUCAAAAAUGAUAGAGUAUAAGUAACUUCACAGGGAUGAACCUAAUGGCAUUAUACCUGUCUCACAGGUACUUUAUGGUGAUGAAGGGGAGGAGCAGGAAGAGCUAAUAUGGCGUAAGGUGCCACCUCCCCAUGCUGCUGGGCUCCUCAGUUUCCUUACCCCAGAAUGUGGUUUCCUGACAGAACAUGAUCGCGCUGAGCUGAGCAAGACCUGUGGAGAACAAGGGGCAACAGGAAAGUAGCUGCAUGGUGCUCCAUGAACUGAACUGUGACAGCCGACAGCCCCGGGGUGAGCAGCCCAAGCUCUUCGAAGACCGCUAGGACCAGAGGCUCAUGUGUGAGGCGAAGGUCACACCCAGAAAACAGAAGCAGCGGCUUAUUCUACAGGAGCUCUCAGACUAUGGUUGAGCCAAGUCUCUAGACAGAAAGAGCUUCUCAAAAUACAGCCACAAAUUGAGCUCAGGCUUUUACAAAGCAACCUCACAUUUAAAACAAACAAAAAAAAAAUUAAGAUUUUAUUUAUUUAUUCGAGGCAGACAGAGAGCACAAGU